UACGGAGGAUCCAAGCGUUAUUCGGAUUUAUUGGGUUUAAAGGGUGCGUAGGCUGAAAAUUAAGUCAGUGGUUAAAUCAUAAGGCUCAACCUUAUUUAGGCCAUUGAAACUUUUUUUCUUGAGUAUCUUUGGGGUAUGCGGAAUGUGUUGUGUAGCGGUGAAAUGCUUAAAUAUAACACAGAACACCAAACGCGAAGGCAGCAUACCAAAAUUUUCUGACGCUGAGGCACGAAAGCGUAGGUAGCAAACAGG
rnacentral:rRNA from 1 species